AAAUAUGUAUUCCCAAGAUUCUUCAAACCCAUACCCUACAAAUCACCAACACCGACCAAAUGUCAACAAAACCACAAAGGAGUUCUCGGAUAAAUAAAAAGACAGAUAUAUUUAUGUUAAUCAGUCAGCGCUUAAUCUUCUCUCUCUUUUGAUUUUUUUUUUUUUGCGAACUUGAAACUUGUUAGUGCAGCAGGGAUCAACGUCUCCAUCUUGAAUUCAGAACCACCAUUAGAGAAGCCACUAAAGGGUUUUCUAGCAACAUGAAAAUCAAGUCGCAAAACCUUCGUCCACUUCUCCGAACCCUAAGACAAAUCGCUUUCGUAAUCACCUCGUACAAAACGCUUAACUUGAAAUCCACAAAUCUGCGAUGAUCUCUUGUUCCAGAUCACAAAAACCUUUAAUUAUGCCAAAAAUUAUUUAGUCGAAAGGGAUAGAGAAAAACGGAAAUAUAUUGUUUGUUGGAAUAAAAAGAUUUCGUGAAUAAUAAAAAUAAUUAAAAAGCAUAGUCUAAAAUAAAACCAGUGGCAAAGAUCUGUAAAUAUUGUUGAAACAGAAUGUCACCUAUUUUAGGGUCUUUUUUUUUUAAUAGUAUAGAUUUAAAAAAUCUCGUAAGAAGGUUUGCGACUCAUAAAACCGCUCUGUGUUUGCGAUCAAAAAGGCGAUAGGGUUUAGGUCGCCGGCUUUGCCGGUGGCUCUGUACGUUGAUGUCAUUUGUGAUGGUGAGAAGGUCUCUAUUCCACUCUUGAUUAUUUCUUUUGAUGAAAGAGUUUUCUCCAAUUAAGGAGAUGUUUCAUUUAUGGUUCUUUUUGGGAGUAUUUCAAUGUUUUGAUUUCACCCAAGUUACAUGGUCUUAUGAUCAACGGAUUUGGGAUCCGGGCAUAUCAUAUUCAUGGAGAAAUAAUGAAUCAGUGCAAGAGGAGCCACCAUGGUGUGUUACAGUCGGGGAGAUUGAAGAUGAUGGACAAUCCCAGGUUCGGUUUCUGUUGGAAAAAUCAGUAUAUUGGGUUUUUCGAAAUCAAAAUUGUGGAUUGGUUAUGGUGAUGCAACCGCAAUGGAAUAUGAUACCAUGGUUUCAGGCUGAAGAAAUCUAUGGUUAGAUCUAAAUUGGGAGUUGGCCAAUGUUAUACAACAAAAGGAAUUGAUGUUGACAAUGUUUAUGUUACGAUAUGUGGAUUGGAGUUUCAUCUCAGAGAUGAUAGCCAAAUGUGAAAAUCGUACAAGGUCGAACGUGAAUGUGGAGAAGACAACCGACAAACUUGAUAUUUUGUAUGAAACUUGGAUAUCAAAAGAAGCUUCUUGUACAAAAACGUCUUCAAUUGUUAUUUUCUAUGAGUUGUUUUUGCAUAAUAUUUAUGUAUCUCAAUGUAUCUUUUAUUAUAGUUUGUACUUUUUAUGUAAUGUUUACGCUAGAUUCUGAUCCGCGCGCCCGCGCGGUUGUAAUUUUUCGAUAAUUACAAAUACAUUUAAAACCCAUUAAUUCAAUGGUUUUAUUUUAUGGUUUCA